rnacentral:lncRNA from 1 species
ACCAGAAAUAUAUUGCACCAAGUUCCAAUUGGUUCAGUUAGUCAUCCUUGUGAAAAAAUUUCAGAUGCUAGCAUAAUUUCAUAUGUUAUGGAUUAUCUGUCUGACAGAUGAGCACAGAUAUGAUCCACUUGUUGUAAUCACAAUCUCUUCCUCUUUUUCUUAAUUAUGACAUAAUUGUUUUGCGACUUUGAAUGAGUAACACAAUAAAUGCUACUUGUGGAGCUGAUACUGCUUAUCUUUCUGUAUAGCACAUAAGUUAUCAAUUUUUUUAUCAAGUUUUUAAUGGAGCCUUUGCUGCUAAAUCUUUAGUUGUAUGAUGUUUUGUUGUUGGUCUUUUUGUUGUUUUUCUAUGUGUUCAUGGUGCUGUCUGCUUUAAUUGAACUUGUGAAUCAUAUUUGUCCUAUUGGGAUCUUAUCUUACUUUUAAA